rnacentral:rRNA from 1 species
UACGUAGGGUGCGAGCGUUAAUCGGAAUUACUGGGCGUAAAGCGUGCGCAGGCGGUUCCAUAAGACAGAUGUGAAAUCCCCGGGCUUAACCUGGGAACUGCGUUUGUGACUGUGGGACUGGAGUGUGGCAGAGGGGGGUGGAAUUCCACGUGUAGCAGUGAAAUGCGUAGAGAUGUGGAGGAACACCGAUGGCGAAGGCAGCCCCCUGGGUCAACACUGACGCUCAUGCACGAAAGCGUGGGGAGCAAACAGG